UCGGGGGUCGUCUAAUGGUAGGACGACAGACUUUGAAUCUGUCUAUCGGGGUUCGAAUCCCUGCCCCCGAA
rnacentral:tRNA from 1 species